rnacentral:rRNA from 1 species
GUGUCAGCCGCCGCGGUAAGACGAAGGGGGCUAGCGUUGUUCGGAAUUACUGGGCGUAAAGGGCGCGUAGGCGGUUUGCUAAGUCAGGCGUGAAAGCCCUGGGCUCAACCUGGGAUGUGCGCUUGAUACUGGCAGGCUUGAGUGCAGGAGAGGAUGGUGGAAUUCCCAGUGUAGAGGUGAAAUUCGUAGAUAUUGGGAAGAACACCGGUGGCGAAGGCGGCCAUCUGGACUGCAACUGACGCUGAGGCGCGAAAGCGUGGGGAGCAAACAGGAUUAGAUACCCUGGUAGUCCACGCUGUAAACGAUGAGUGCUGGACGUUGGCGGGUUUACCUGCCGGUGUCGCAGCUAACGCGUUAAGCACUCCGCCUGGGGAGUACGGCCGCAAGGUUAAA